rnacentral:rRNA from 1 species
GAUGAACGCUGGCGGCGUGCCUAAUACAUGCAAGUCGAGCGAACAGACGAGGAGCUUGCUCCUUCGACGUUAGCGGCGGACGGGUGAGUAACACGUAGGUAACCUACCUAUAAGACUGGGAUAACUUCGGGAAACCGGAGCUAAUACCGGAUAAUAUUUCGAACCGCAUGGUUCGAUAGUGAAAGAUGGUUUUGCUAUCACUUAUAGAUGGACCUGCGCCGUAUUAGCUAGUUGGUAAGGUAACGGCUUACCAAGGCAACGAUACGUAGCCGACCUGAGAGGGUGAUCGGCCACACUGGAACUGAGACACGGUCCAGACUCCUACGGGAGGCAGCAGUAGGGAAUCUUCCGCAAUGGGCGAAAGCCUGACGGAGCAACGCCGCGUGAGUGAUGAAGGUCUUCGGAUCGUAAAACUCUGUUAUUAGGGAAGAACAAACGUGUAAGUAACUGUGCACGUCUUGACGGUACCUAAUCAGAAAGCCACGGCUAACUACGUG